rnacentral:ncRNA from 1 species
ACCCUGGUUGAUCCUGCCAGUAGUCAUAUGCUUGUCUCAAAGAUUAAGC